GAUGAACGCUGACAGAAUGCUUAACACAUGCAAGUCAACUUGAACUUCGGUUUGGGUGGCGGACGGGUGAGUAACGCGUAAAGAACUUGCCUCACAGAUAGGGACAACAUUUGGAAACGAAUGCUAAUACCUGAUAUUAUGAUUUUAGGGCAUCCUAGAAUUAUGAAAGCUAUAUGCGCUGUGAGAGAGCUUUGCGUCCCAUUAGCUAGUUGGAGAGGUAACGGCUCACCAAGGCGAUGAUGGGUAGCCGGCCUGAGAGGGUGAUCGGCCACAAGGGGACUGAGACACGGCCCUUACUCCUACGGGAGGCAGCAGUGGGGAAUAUUGGACAAUGGACCAAGAGUCUGAUCCAGCAAUUCUGUGUGCACGAUGAAGUUUUUCGGAAUGUAAAGUGCUUUCAGUUGGGAAGAAAAAAAUGACGGUACCAACAGAAGAAGUGAC
rnacentral:rRNA from 1 species